CACAAAUACUCUCUCAUUUCAUAUUUCUUUAUGCACAUAAUUAUUUUCUCUCAUCCAAAAUAUUGAAUUUCUGGUUGCAUCUCUUGUUAUCUUUAAGAUAAAUUUGAGUUGUUCUGUCACCUCCGAUUAUGAUUCAUAACGGGGAAACUGUUGUAUCCUGUAAGGAUAUGCGCUUAUGAGACGGAUCAAAUCCUCAAAGACAUGACUAUGUCACGCCUCAGGUUAUAUAAAUGCGGCUUACUAUAUUGCAGGUCAUGAAUUCUUGUUUGCUUACUUCACCGUUACCGACUUCAAAUCACCGUAAUUUCCAAAACAGAUAAGUUUACUUAUAUCCCUCUAGUUUAUUCUUUUAAUAUUUAAUUGAUGUUUUUAUUUAUAUGAAGAUUAUUAUUUAUAGAGAUAAUUUAUUCCUAAUUUUUUUAACAAUAACCCCGUAAAAAGAAGAAAAGAGAAAUAAGUAUAAGAAAGAAAAAGAAGAGUAACAACAGUAUAUCCUUAUGAUUUCCCUCAAAAAAAAGGGUAUAUCUUUAUGAUUAACUUUGCAUAUCACACAUUAUCAAAGAACACAGUCUUCACUGCAAUCAUGAAAAAAAAAAAUUGGUUAAUUUUUCAAAUCAAUUUCAGUUCGGUUUAGAACCAGUUUACUUAUUUUCAACUAAUUUCGAAAUGACUUCAGUUUUAACUAGUUUCAAAACAGUUUUAUACCCUUUUAUUUUCCUUCAAAUUUUUAUAUUAUUUUUUAAUUAUAUAAUUUAAUAUUAUUAAUAAAUUAAAUGAAUAAUAUAAUAUUUAUAAAAGAGAUGGUGGCAAGUGGUGCUUAAUAGUGGCUGCCGGUGGUGUUUCACGGCGGAGCUCCGGUGGCCAUCACGGCGGCGGACGGUGGGCCUCCGGUAACAUUACGGUGGUUCAUGGUGGUUCUCCGGCAAGAACAUACUACUUGUUGGAUCAAGGGUAAGAUUGAGAGGGGAUUCCUAAAUGAUCGAAGUUGGUAAUUCUCCGGUGUCUAGAACCACCGUGCAACACUUGUGAUAUUUUUCUUAAAAAACAAAUAGAAACACUUAAUAUAUUUUAAGGGUCACUUGUAUGGAUUAGAACACCGUGCAUCUUGAGGCUAUGUUUGGAUUGAUGGAGAGUGAUGGAAUGGAAUGGAGUGGAGUGAGAUAAAAUCAUGUUCCAUUGUUUGGUUUUGUAAAAAAUGAAUAGAAUGGAAUGGAGUGUGAUGGAACUCAUUCCAUUCAAUACUACUCAUUAAGCCAAAUUUUCAUUCCCCAAAUUUGGGGUGUAUCCAAUUGAAUGGAAUACAUUAAUAGUACAAUGACAACUUUACCCUAUUUUUUUCUAUUUCAUCAACUGCUCCUCCUUCCUUCAUAUUUUUUUUCUUUUGUUCAGCGUGUCUUAUUUUAUCUUGCUUUUCCCAUCUUCUACCACUCUUUCCUGUCUCGUUUCCAAAUAUCACUUCUUUUAAUUAAUAUCUAUUCACUCAUAAAUCAUCUCUUACAUCGUUUCCAUUGUGUUUUCUAGUUUUCAAUAAUUUUUCUAACUUUACUAUAAUUAAGCCUAUGAAGUUUAAGCUACCAAAUAGAAAUAUAAUUAUUCUAUAUCAUGCAUGAACCAUUAUUACGCACUGCACAAUAUUUUCAAUUCUAACUAAUUAGUACAAUAUAUUUUUUGUUGUUUAUGGUAUGAAGUAUGAACAUGUAUUGACUUUGAGAUUCUUAAAUGAAGUUGCUUGUUAAAAAUUAAAAAAAAAACUUUUGCAAAAUAUAUUGAAUUUAUGGUGUUACUCAUGUUUAUUUUGUACUUGUUUAUUAUGAUGUUAUUUGAUGCCAAAAUACCCAUAUAUUCAUUGAAUUGAGUUGACAAAUUCAACAAAUUGAUUUUUUAAACUAAAGGGUAAAAAAGGAAUAAAAAAAGUUAUAACACUUUUCGUUCCGUCCACUUUCCAAGCAAUGGAGUGGGAAAUUAGUUCAAUUCCAUCGUAAAAUAUCCAAACAAUGAAAUGAAUUUUUUUUCCUAUUCCGCUCCAUUCCGUUCCGUUAGUUCCAGCUUAUCCGAACAGAGUGAAUAUUUAUCACAUUCCAUGAUGUGUUCGGAGUUAAAAUGGAAUAGAAACGAGAUUAGAACUGUCAAGUAAGCAUGCAUUUUUUUCAAGUAAUUGUGUAAUUGUUUAAGUGUUAUGUGUUUAUUCAUGGGUGAACCUUGGCUUUACCAUAUUCUAAUGAACCCAUGACAUGUGAAUGAGAAACUAUUGUUGAGAUCUCAUUCUUUUGGUGUGUGUACAUCUAUGUAUAUUGAUUUAGUUGUCAUUUGAAAUUGAAAGAAAAUUCUCGUCUCAUGGUAUAUAUUCUUUUACUAUGUUUUCGAAUCAUAUUCAGAAAUGAACGGUGUUCCAGUUUUUUAUGUUCAUGUGAUGCACAAAUGUUGAACCACAAUACCAAAAGGUUUCAUUUACCAAUAUAAGUUCCAACAAAGAUUACACAUAUGGUUCAAAACACAAAAGGAAAAAGAAAAUACUGCACCGUGAGCAACUUUCAGUCUUCAAAUGAUCAGAAUAUAUAUCCUUUAUAUCUAAUCCUAGCAAACAUGCUUACCCUAUUUGCUAAACCCUAAUCCUAAUUUUUUGGCUCCAAAUCGUUCUGGCCGUUGGAUCUCUAUCUUUGGGUGCCACUGUUAUAUCAGCCAUUGAUCUUAUAUGUUGACUUGCACACAUCACAACAAUCAGUUCAAAUUUGAAAUUUGAAUCCUUGAAAAUUCAUCACAAUUAUUAUGCACACUACACAACACACGCGUUCUUUCUCUAAAAAAAAACAAGCGUUUCUUCUUCUUCUUCCUCUUAUCAUCAUCACCACCGUCAACCCUCUCCCCCCAUCCAUCGGCGGCGACCACCAAGCCUCUCCCUCAAGCCACCGAGGUUCUCCCCCCUCUGCUCCACAUAUCUCCUCACACACUCAACCACUCUCUUCUUCCCACUUUUCACCUCCCGACGCUUCUCGACGGCGCCGCCUCCACUUCCGUUGCGAAUCAGAAAUCAACCACACGCUUGCCACCAUCUCCUCUCCGUUGAGAAAUGGAAUCCCUCUUCGACGGCGUCACCUCCAGGUUAAACAUUUAUCGCUACUCUCUCCUACAAUCCUAUUUGUAAUUGUGACAGGUUGGUUUUGUUCUUCCAUAAACAAUUAAUUUCUAAUUCUUAGGGUUUUUUGUUCUGUUCUAUUUGGUUGUUGUGUUGUGUUUCGCCAUUGAAUUUUAAUUUUGCAGGUGUAGGGAGAACCAGAGAAACCAACACCCCUAAUCAGUUUUAGUUUUUAUUUGAUUUUGUUGAACUUUUGAAGAAACAAUUAUAGGGAUGUAAGCAUUCAUAUAUUUUUGUGAGCAGGGAUUAAUUUUGCUUUAUAUUUGAAACUAACGCAUCAAUAGAUAAAAGCAAUUAGAGGGAUUUUAAAAAGUUCACCGGAAGGUGAUCGUUUAUGAUCUAGAUAGGUUUUCCUUUUUGGUAGGAUUGUGUUUAUAGAGGAAUGCAUAGCUUGACUGUAAUACUGAUGUAGAACAAGAGGAUCCAUCAACUAUUGGUAUUUGAGAAAGCUUCAACUUUGACGGAAGCAAGAAGACUAGAUAGAUAAGUAACUCUCUCAGUAGUUAGGUGCAAGAUUUAAUGAAUCAAUUUUGGUUAACACAAACUCAAAACAACCAUUGAUACAACCUCUUUGGUAUUAAAAUCUAGAGAUCUAAUCCUAGCAAACAUGCUUACCCUAUUGCUAAACCCUAAUCCUAAUUUUUUGGCUCCAAAUCGUUCUGGCCGUUGGAUCUCUAUCUUUGGGUGCCACUAUUAUAUCAACCAUUGAUCUUAUAUGUUGACUUGCACACAUCACAACAAUCAGUUCAAAUUUGAAAUUUGAAUCCUUGAAAAUUCAUCACAAUUAUUAUGCACACUACACAACACACGCGUUCUUUCUCUAAAAAAAAAACAAGCGUUUCUUCUUCUUCUUCCUCUUAUCAUCAUCACCACCGUCAACCCUCUCCCCCCAUCCAUCGGCGGCGACCACCAAGCCUCUCCCUCAAGCCACCGAGGUUCUCCCCCCUCUGCUCCACAUAUCUCCUCACACACUCAACCACUCUCUUCUUCCCACUUUUCACCUCCCGACGCUUCUCGACGGCGCCGCCUCCACUUCCGUUGCGAAUCAGAAAUCAACCACACGCUUGCCACCAUCUCCUCUCCGUUGAGAAAUGGAAUCCCUCUUCGACGGCGUCACCUCCAGGUUAAACAUUUAUCGCUACUCUCUCCUACAAUCCUAUUUGUAAUUGUGACAGGUUGGUUUUGUUCUUCCAUAAACAAUUAAUUUCUAAUUCUUAGGGUUUUUUGUUCUGUUCUAUUUGGUUGUUGUGUUGUGUUUCGCCAUUGAAUUUUAAUUUUGCAGGUGUAGGGAGAACCAGAGAAACCAACACCCCUAAUCAGUUUUAGUUUUUAUUUGAUUUUGUUGAACUUUUGAAGAAACAAUUAUAGGGAUGUAAGCAUUCAUAUAUUUUUGUGAGCAGGGAUUAAUUUUGCUUUAUAUUUGAAACUAACGCAUCAAUAGAUAAAAGCAAUUAGAGGGAUUUUAAAAAGUUCACCGGAAGGUGAUCGUUUAUGAUCUAGAUAGGUAUUCUUCAUAAUAUUCAUUGGUUGGAUUGAAUGUAUCGGUCUCUCUAUCUCAUCUAAUUAUGUUUCUGAUUUUUUUUUUCCUUCACUUUUGCAGGUUUUCCUUUUUGGUAGGAUUGUGUUUAUAGAGGAAUGCAUAGCUUGACUGUAAUACUGAUGUAGAACAAGAGGAUCCAUCAACUAUUGGUAUUUGAGAAAGCUUCAACUUUGACGGAAGCAAGAAGACUAGAUAGAUAAGUAACUCUCUCAGUAGUUAGGUGCAAGAUUUAAUGAAUCAAUUUUGGUUAACACAAACUCAAAACAACCAUUGAUACAACCUCUUUGGUAUUAAAAUCUAGAGAUCUUUAGGUCGUUUUACCAAUUUUUUUGUCCCUCGCUCUCAUUUCAUCCAGCACCCAAUUUCAAGCCUCUAUCCCCAAUUUCUUUCAACCCCCAAAUCAAUUGUCACCUCUCGAGCUUAAAAAUUGAGUUAUAGGUAUGAAUAUAGUGUUUUUUCCUUUUCUUUUUCUCUUGCAUAAUUUUAAUUUUAUUUUGAUAUGUAUGCGAACAUGGUAACUUUGGAAAGGUUGUGUAAUUUUUUGACAUUUUAUAACAAGGUAACUUUGGCUAGGUUUAAGAGAAUGAUAUAAAUGAGGUCAUGACUAUAUUACUAUUGGAAGGAAGAAUGAAGUCAAUGUGGAAUAAAUUAUUUAGAACUUCAUUUAUCAAACCAGAUGAUGACGAAAGCACUCUCGAAAUUAUGUUGUUCAACUUUAAUUACUUUCACUUUUAGUGUUUCUUCUCAUUGCUCAAUGAUAUUUCACCUGAUAAUGAUUCUAAGACUUCUCCUAUUAAUGGUUUAUUAAUAUGUUUUUUGUGUUCUUAAGGGCCAAGAAAUUGAAAAGCAAUCAGAGGAUCUCACAACUAAGAAUUGAAGAGGUUAUACAUCUCUGAUAUUGAUAUCAAGAGAGAGAAUCAUUGUUUUAUUUCCAAGAGGUGGGAGUGAAUUGUUGUUGACAUGCAUUGUUUGGUGGUGGUUAGCUUUGCUGCGCUUCUGUUUUGCUUUGGAGUAAUAUGGUUUUGUUCAGCUCAGCUAUAGUAGACUUUCAUGCAGUUUUGCUUCUGUUGUGUAGUGUUUCUAUCGUCUGCUGCAUUGGUUUGUAUUUUUGGAUUCUAUGGUGUUCUGAUGCCUUGGUUUAGUGUCAUGGUCACACCGAAUCUAUUCGGUGUGAUGGCUGAUUUCGCUUAAGACAGUGGUUUUCUAUUCGGUGAAGAUAUUGAUGAGACGUCUAACGUUGUAUACGAAGACGUAUUUAGAAAUGUAUAAUUCCAUCCUAUUAGAAUAUAUUUUGUCGGUUAAAUCCGUUUUAUGUGUUUGUGUUAAAAACCGUUUAUGUAUUUCUAUAAAAAAGGUUGGGUUGCUAUAUGAUAUUUCACCAAACCAUACCUUUAAUGACUUUCAUAA